GGGGAAUAUUGCACAAUGGGCGGAAGCCUGAUGCAGCGACGCCGCGUGGGGGAUGACGGCCUUCGGGUUGUAAACCCCUUUCAGUGCAGAACAAGGCUCUUUGUGGGUUGAGGGUAUGCGCAGAAGAAGCGCCGGCUAACUACGUGCCAGCAGCCGCGGUAAUACGUAGGGCGCGAGCGUUGUCCGGAUUUAUUGGGCGUAAAGAGCUCGUAGGCGGUUUGUCGCGUCUGCUGUGAAAUCCUCUGGCUUAACUGGGGGCGUGCAGUGGGUACGGGCAGACUGGAGUGCGGUAGGGGAGACUGGAAUUCCUGGUGUAGCGGUGGAAUGCGCAGAUAUCAGGAGGAACACCGGUGGCGAAGGCGGGUCUCUGGGCCGUUACUGACGCUGAGGAGCGAAAGCAUGGGGAGCGAACAG
rnacentral:rRNA from 1 species